rnacentral:rRNA from 1 species
UGCAGUCGAGCGGUAAGGCCCUUCGGGGUACACGAGCGGCGAACGGGUGAGUAACACGUGGGUGAUCUGCCCUGCACUUCGGGAUAAGCCUGGGAAACUGGGUCUAAUACCGGAUAUGACCAAUGGCUGCAUGGCUGUUGGUGGAAAGGUUUACUGGUGCAGGAUGGGCCCGCGGCCUAUCAGCUUGUUGGUGGGGUAAUGGCCUACCAAGGCGACGACGGGUAGCCGACCUGAGAGGGUGACCGGCCACACUGGGACUGAGACACGGCCCAGACUCCUACGGGAGGCAGCAGUGGGGAAUAUUGCACAAUGGGCGAAAGCCUGAUGCAGCGACGCCGCGUGAGGGAUGACGGCCUUCGGGUUGUAAACCUCUUUCAGCAGGGACGAAGCGAAAGUGACGGUACCUGCAGAAGAAGCACCGGCCAACUACGUGCCAGCAGCCGCGGUAAUACGUAGGGUGCAAGCGUUGUCCGGAAUUACUGGGCGUAAAGAGCUCGUAGGCGGUUUGUCGCGUCGUCUGUGAAAACUCGAGGCUCAACCUCGAGCUUGCAGGCGAUACGGGCAGACUUGAGUACUGCAGGGGAGACUGGAAUUCCUGGUGUAGCGGUGAAAUGCGCAGAUAUCAGGAGGAACACCGGUGGCGAAGGCGGGUCUCUGGGCAGUAACUGACGCUGAGGAGCGAAAGCGUGGGUAGCGAACAGGAUUAGAUACCCUGGUAGUCCACGCCGUAAACGGUGGGCGCUAGGUGUGGGUUUCCUUCCACGGGAUCCGUGC